GGCUGGUUGGCCACGUUCGGAAGGGAUAACCGCUGAAAGCAUCUAAGCGGGAAGCCUGCUUCAAGAUGAGGUAUCCCACCCCGAUGAGGGGGUAAGGCCCCCACCCAGACCAGUGGGUUGAUAGGCCAGAAAUGUAAGCCCAGUAAUGGGUUCAGUUGACUGGUACUAAUAGGCCGAGGACUUGACCUACAA
rnacentral:rRNA from 1 species